UGUGUAUGUAGUAGGCAUGAAACAUAGCAGGAUCCAUUUUUGGCAGGUACAAUUCAUUUGGUUCUACAUACAUUUUCGUUAUUUGCCAUUACCUGUGAUAAAGAAAACUGCAGCAGAUGGCUUCACAUAAGAGUGGUAGCAUUGCCUUUGCUUCACGUAAUAGAUUGUCGGUGCUACUGAACGCAUUCUCAUGCCGACUUCCUUUGGUCUCUAGAGUUUCUAUGAAUUGCGGCCCCUUACGCACAAAGUCUCCACCUUUUCCAUGACAUACCGAGUUCAAUGCAGAGAAGAGUUUCCUGAAAGAAUGAAUGCCACACCGAGUUCAACACGUAGAAGAGUUUCAUGAAAGAACUUGAAUCAGGGGAUUUAAAUCUCGGAUUCAGGUUAGUUGAGUCGGAAAGACCACCUCUAAAGGCAACAAAACUUUAAAUGGCCACAAUGUAUGCAGUCAUAGAGGGCUCAUUACUAAGAAUGGAGUAUAUUUCAGCAGCCAGGGAAAUAACAUGAUUGCAAAUGGGUCUUUCGCGCUGCAAGUAAGUUUUCACAUAUGCAUUCAUUUCGUUGGUGAUCGAGAGAAUGCUUGUUUGAGUAUUUUAGAUCGGUUAAUGGCUGAUAUGAAUAUUUAGCAACAUUCUCACUAGUGGUAAUAUCCAAGCAUUCCUUCCGAUGGCCCCUUUGAUGCAAACUUAAUGGCUGCUCGACUUGAGAAUGUGAAAAUAGUCGAGAUUGGUUCAUGUACAUUGGGCUUGAAAAAUGGUCUGUUUGUAUUCCCAUAUCUUUUCAUAAAUGUUAA